UCUGGCAGCUAUAAUCAAAAGGUCACACCCCUUCUCAUAUUGAACACGGAAGUUGAGCUUCUCAGCGUCGAUGGUGAUUGGAGGCUCUCCCCCCUGUGAGAGUAGGACGUCGCCAGGC
rnacentral:rRNA from 1 species